UGAUUCAAGUGACUAGUUUUUGAUAGGUUGCUAGAACAAUGUAGAACAUUCUAGAACCUCCUAGAACAGAAUGAUUACUAUCAGUGGUGGAAGCAUCUGUACCUCUUCAAAUACCCUCUUCGUAAAAAUGUAUGCUUGAAAGGCAAAAUGAUUUAUUUGUGCCUCACAACCAAUUAACAAUGAAGAUAAUUCAGAAAAAGGGAGCAAUGAGCUUAGGAUGAAAAGCUAGAGAAGAGGUAAGAGUUGACCUGGAUGGGAUGUGAAGAGCUGGCAGAGCAAAGGCAGGCAUCCCAAAUGGAGAGAACCUGAGGAGAGUGCAGACCUCUUGUGGAAGGUAGAACUGAGUGUGGACAAACCUGGAGUAAGAGGGAUAUUAUCACUGCUUUAAAGGAGAGUACUAUGCAUGAAGGAAGUAUUUAAGUGAUGCUUGUUGCAUUGAGCUGAUAAGGACAUACUGCUACAGACUCAGCAAUUGAGUUGAUUUUGUGGAUGGCACGGUCACUCUCUCAGCCAUGCUGGGGCACAACCUUAAAUAGGAGUCUAAGUGGGAACAUGGAACUCACGAAAGUGGCACUCCGCAGGACGGGGUCUCCUGGCUGCAUUAAAGCAGUGAGAAAUAUAAGAACUGACUUCGUUUUUUUACUGUCUGUUGCAUAAUAUGCACUGCAUUAAGCUCUUUGGGUAGAGUUACUUCACUUAAUCCUCACAGCAAUUCCUUAUGGUAUGAGAUAAGAAAACUGAGAUUUGGAGAAGUUAAAUGACACAUCCAAGG
rnacentral:lncRNA from 1 species